rnacentral:tRNA from 1 species
GCGCCCGUAGCUCAGUAGGACAGAGCAGGAGCCUUCUAAGCUCUUGGCCGGGGGUUCGAAUCCUCCCGGGCGCGCCA